UACGGGGGGGGCAAGCGUUGUUCGGAAUUACUGGGCGUAAAGGGCUCGUAGGUGGCCAACUAAGUCGGACGUGAAAUCCCUCGGCUUAACCGGGGAACUGCGUCUGAUACUGGAUGGCUUGAGUUCGGGAGAGGGAUGCGGAAUUCCAGGUGUAGCGGUGAAAUGCGUAGAUAUCAAGUGGAACACCAGUGGCGAAGGCGAAUCCCUGGAAAAUACCUGACACUGAGGCACGAAAGCUAGGGGAGCAAACAGG
rnacentral:rRNA from 1 species